UUUAUUAAUUCAGCAGUCGACUUCAAAAAUAUAAAAAUGGAAAGGUACCUACACCUUCGAGAUAAAAAAGCGUUACUGAACGUUGAUGUUUUAACGAUAAUUUGAUAACAUCAGCCACCUAAGCAACAGAUAUAAUUUUACAGAAUGAAAUUCCUUCCAAUUGUUGUUCUCGUUUUCACACUGUUGCUGAUCCAGAUUAGUGAAGCAAAUCCUGUUCCACAAGUUCGAGCACAAUUCCUUGGGCUCUGGUAUGAACCCCCAGAUUAUGGAUACAAAAUUCAAUAUGCUUAGCAAAGUUAUCGCUGGUGUGCAAGUUUUGACAGAGAAGUCGUGUGAAAAUUUUCGUCUUAUAUUUUCAAAAUAAAAAUUAAAGAGAAAUUU